GUGGCUAAGUGUCCACUUAAUAAGGAGAAGCUGGCUAAAGGAUGCGACGACCAUGCUUCAUAGACUCAGGCAGUGAUGUUUCACUUAU